rnacentral:rRNA from 1 species
UAGGGAAUAUUAGAAAUGGCCGAAAGUCUGAUCUAGCAACACCGCGUGUGCGAAGAAGGCCUUCGGGUCGUAAAGCACUUUUUGGAAGGAAUAGGAAGGAAUGUACUUCCAGAAUAAGUCUCGGCUAACUACGUGCCAGCAGCCGCGGUAACACGUAGGAGGCAAACGUUAUCCGGAUUUACUGGGCGUAAAGCGCGUGUAGGUGGUACUGUAAGUAGGGCGUGAAAGCUCCUGGCUCAACUGGGAGAGGCCGUUCUAAACUACAGAACUAGAGGAUGGUAGAGGGAGGUGGAAUGCGAGGUGUAGCGGUGGAAUGCGGAGAUAUCUGGAGGAACAGCGGUGGCGAAGGCGGCGUCCUGGACGAUUCCUGACACUGAGACGCGAAAGC